CGUGACAUAUACCAAACUUAACCUGAAAGAAAAUCAUCAAAAUGAAAUUAUUGUUUUUAGUAGCCGUCGUAGCAGCUGUAUGGGUGGUAGAAGCUCAACAUCAUUGUCGUGAAGACCACGAAUGUGGAGGUGUGACACACUGUGAACCUCACGAAGAACAUUUCUGUGAUGUACGUGAAGGAAGAUGUGCAUGUAGAGCUGUAUGGGUGGUAGAAGCUCAACAUCUUUGUCAAAACGACCACGAAUGUGCAGCUGUGAUCCACUGCCAAUCUAACGAAGAACAUGUCUGUGGUAAUGAUGGAAGAUGUGCAUGUAGAGACCGAUCUGUUGUAGGAAAACGACAACAACACCACUGUCGUGACGAUGGUGAAUGUGACCAUGCCCAAUGUAAUAUUAACUCAGAAGGUUUCUGUGACGAGCAUGGAAUUUGUGGCUGUCGAGACCUACCUCAUUGUGGAGAGAAUCGUGACUGUGGACAUCUGCAGUGUGCAGCUCAUGAAGAAGCUUUCUGUGACGCACAACAUGGCUGCCAUUGCAGAGACUUGCCGGUAGCUCAUUGUCGAGACGACCGUGAAUGUGGACAUCUGACCAAUUGUGCCAAUAAUCAAGAACCUUCCUGUAACCAGCAGGGAGGCUGCAUUUGUAGAGACCGACCUGCCGGGGUAACGCCAGUGUGAUCAUUGGGCAACGCCAGAAUAUCAUCAAGUUCAUUGUCACUGUCAUCAUCUGUGAAAAUAAACUGUAUAAUUAGUCUA